UACGUAGGGUGCGAGCGUUGUCCGGAAUUAUUGGGCGUAAAGAGCUCGUAGGCGGCUUGUCGCGUCGGAUGUGAAAGCCCGGGGCUUAACUUCGGGUCUGCAUUCGAUACGGGCAGGCUAGAGUUCGGUAGGGGAGAUCGGAAUUCCUGGUGUAGCGGUGAAAUGCGCAGAUAUCAGGAGGAACACCGGUGGCGAAGGCGGUUCUCUGGGCAUUACCUGACGCUGAGGAGCGAAAGUGUGGGGAGCGAACAGG
rnacentral:rRNA from 1 species